rnacentral:lncRNA from 1 species
AUCGUGUUUAUUAGGGAAAAUGAUCUGGGUCGUUCGAUCAAAGGCGUGCGGGUCAUUCAUUUGAAGGCAUGUGGGUCAUUCGAUCUAUCUUAUUUGGGAAGUCAGUCUAGGCCAUUUGUGCGUGCGGGAGUGAGCAUGAGCCGUUGGAUCACCAGACACGCGGAUUGCUCGCGUGGCUCCUGUGGGGAGCCCUUGCCAGUUUGUCUAUGUUCUAACUUGUUGUGCUGCUAACGUGACCGUCCUACAUGGUUGCAUGUAUUUAUUUUUUUUAC